CCUACGGGGGGCAGCAGUGAGGAAUAUUGGUCAAUGGACGAGAGUCUGAACCAGCCAAGUAGCGUGAAGGAUGACUGCCCUAUGGGUUGUAAACUUCUUUUAUAUGGGAAUAAAAUGUUCCACGUGUGGGCUUUUGUAUGUACCAUAUGAAUAAGGAUCGGCUAACUCCGUGCCAGCAGCCGCGGUAAUACGGAGGAUCCGAGCGUUAGCCGGAUUUAUUGGGUUUAAAGGGAGCGUAGGUGGAUUGUUAAGUCAGUUGUGAAAGUUUGCGGCUCAACCGUAAAAUUGCAGUUGAAACUGGCAGUCUUGAGUACAGUAGAGGUGGGCGGAAUUCGGGGUGUAGCGGUGAAAUGCUUAGAUAUCACGAAGAACUCCGAUUGCGAAGGCAGCUCACUGGACUGCAACUGACACUGAGGCUCGAAAGUGUGGGUAUCAAACAGGAUUAGAUACCCGAGUAGUC
rnacentral:rRNA from 1 species